CUAACACUAUCAUCGUCUGGGGUUUGUAUGAUUAUAAUAGAUAGUCCUGCACUGACAAUGCAAAGAGCAACACAUAGUUCCCCCUUCCCAUUGCACCAAUUACGCUGCCCUGCAGGUUUGAGCUGGUUGAACUGUGUCACACUGUUUGCUCGUGCGUUGUGUGAAAGCGUGCGCCUGCCAUAACAUGUAUCUGACUAUUUGUGUCGGCGUACUUCUGUUUGUUUGUUUUCGCGUUCGGUUACAACGGUGACGCAUCAAACCUGCACAUUUUAACCCGCGAGCGUAUCCCAGUGCAUGCUGGGAUUGGCCCGAGCUCCCACAUGACCCCAAACGGUAAUAAGAAGGUAUCUCAAAUUGGAUUUCCCUGAGCAGACAUGCAACGAGCUGAGACGGACAGGUUUGCUGCCUCCAGCCGCUCCUGCGCUGCCGCUGCUGCCGCUGCUGCCGCCGCCUUCUUCGGCAUCCUCCACCGGCACUACAGUGAAAUUAGUGGGCAUUUUGUCUCUCUACCCCUUCGAAAAAGUGAAUAGAGGUCUCCAAUGGCAACCACUGUGGCUCCAGUUGUUGGACUUUCACUGCCACAGAGAUUGGGGGGGUGGGGGGGGGGAGAAAAAAGAAUCUAAAUGGAGUCAAAUGAAAGAAGUAGAGCCCUGUCAGGGCCCUGGUGAAGGAGCCGAGGAUUCAGUUUGACCACAACAUGGCACUCACUCCAAAUCCGUUGUUUCCCUGUCUUUCUGUAACGUGAUCCGGUGGGCUCUAACCUCGGGGUGAAAGUGCCGCCUCCUGCACAUGGGGCAGGCCAAAGUCUCUCUCUCUCUCUCUCCUCUGUCUCUUUCUCUCUUUCCUUGUUCCUUUCCCUCCCUUUUCUCCCCAGUGCCUCAAGACUAUUGCCCCAUGUGAUUGUCUAUUUACCAUAUGAACAGAGCUGGAGUCCAUACAUGGAGAACCCUGCGGCUCCUCCCUCUACCCCGACCAUCCUACUUCUCUCACUCACACCUUUGUAAUGCGAAAAGGUAGACAUACAAACUCCAAAGUCUCUAGGAAAAGUAUCCAAAUUAUCAGUAAAAAUCCACUGGGCUGAAAAAAAUAAAAGAACCAGCCGCCUCACAUUUAACAAGAACUAACUUGACUGGGUCUUUUCUCGUCUGUUCAUUUGGCUUUUGGUUAUAUUUUCUGAUCUCCCUUCAGACUGGUAGUUCCUCUCUGGUUUGCUCCGGGUCAACAACCAAAUGGGUGUUACCUUUUCCCACAGUGCAUUGUGGGUAAGCAGCAAAGUGCCGGUGUUCAGCACAGAAUGGCACUGCAUGCUCUCAUACGCACACGCAUUGUGCCAGCGAAGGAAACACCUUGAAAUCCUGGGACACUACUUUUUCCUCUGUAUUCCCAGCACCAGCCAAGAUUUCAAUAGACAAUCGCCGAGGGGGAAAAGGAUUGAGCCUUAAAUAACAAUGGACACAUGUAAACAAGAACUCUUUUCAGUUUGUGGGAAGGAUCUGUCGGCGCUCCUAUGCACGUCUCUCACGCAGUUGGGGAUGUUUAUCUUGAUCAAGUGAAAGCUUUUUUUUAUAAAAUGAUACAUACAGUAGUGCAAAUAAAAAAGAUGGUGUACUGCAGAAUGAAUGUGUAUUAUUACAUGUAUCAGUUGAUUUACUUAAUCAUGUAACAGUUUCUGCAGCAUAACCGUUGGACACUUCAUUACAAUAGUACAGUAAAUGGCAUGACCCUGAGAAUUCAUGUUGUCAGGUUGAAAGUUACUGUAGAAUAAAAUACAAAAAAAAUGGUGGUUCA